GCCUGCAAGUUUAAGUACAAACUAAAUUAAAGUAAAACCGCAAAAUGCUCAUUAAAUUAGUUAUAGUUCACAAGAGCAAUGCUUAAAUGGAUAACUGUGGUAAUUCUAGAGCUAAUACAUGCAAUCAAGUUUUGAUCAGUAAUGGUGAAAACGCUUCUAUUAGAUCAAAACCAAUCCGGUCAGCCUAGCUGAUCCGUCUGACUUUUGAUGACUCUGAAUAAAACCGCAGAUCACAUUUUCUAAGCAUUGGUGAUUUAUCUUUCAAAUGCCUGACUUAUCAACUUUCGAUGGUAGACUAUAUGUCUACCAUGGUUAUAACGGGUAACGGGGAAUCAGGGUUCGAUUCCGGAGAGGGAGCCCGAGAAACUGCUACCACAUCCAAGGAAGGCAGCAGGCACGCAAAUUACCCACUCCCAGCACGGGGAGGUAGUGACAAAAAAUAACGAUACGGGACUCAUCCGAGGCCCCGUAAUCGGAAUGAGUACACUUUAAAUCCUUUAACAAGGAUCCAUUGGAGGGCAAGUCUGGUGCCAGCAGCCGCGGUAAUUCCAGCUCCAAUAGCGUAUAUUAAAGCUGUUGCGGUUAAAAAGCUCGUAAUUGGUUCUGUGUGCCACGCUGUUGGUUCACCGCCUGUCGGUGUAACUGACAUGUCGUGGGACGUCCUGUCGGUGGUAAUUAAACUGGCCAACUUUACAGUUGCUUGUCUCUGUAUAAUGUUGGUUAUGUUUAAUUGCCGAUUAAACCUGCCGCGGUGCUCUUAAUUGAGUGUCGAGGGAGGCCGACAUGUUUACUUUGAACAAAUUAGAGUGAUUAAAGCAGGCAAAUAUUUGCCUGAAUAGUGGUGCAUGGAAUAAUAGAAUAAGACUUUGGUUCUAAUUUGUUGGUUUUUCGGAAUCCAAGGUAAUGAUCAAUAUGGACGGUCGGGGGCAUUCGUAUUGCGACGUUAGACUUGGCAAAUGCUUUCGCGGUGAAAUUCUUGGAUCGUCGCAAGACGAACUAGAGCGAAAGCAUUUGCCAAGUAUGUCUUAAUUGAUCAAGAACGAAAGUUAGAGGUUCGAAGGCGAUCAGAUACCGCCCUAGUUCUAACCAUAAACGAUGUCAGCCAGCAAUCCGCCGAGUUUUUUUCAUGACUCGACGGGCGGCUUCCGGGAAACCAAAGCUUUUGGGUUCCGGGGGAAGUAUGGUUGCAAAGCUGAAACUUAAAGGAAUUGACGGAAGGGCACCACCAGGAGUGGAGCCUGCGGCUUAAUUUGACUCAACACGGGAAACCUCACCAGGCCCAGACAUUGAAAGGAUUGACAGAUUGAUAGCUCUUUCUUGAUUCAGUGGGUAGUGGUGCAUGGCCGUUCUUAGUUGGUGGAACGAUUUGUCAGGUUAAUUCCGAUAACGAACGAGACUUUAACCUGCUAACUAGACGGACAAUAUCUAAGCUAUUGCCGUCUAAUCUCUUCUUAGAGGGACAAGCGGCUCCCAGCCGCACGAGAUUGAGCAAUAACAGGUCUGAAUGCCCUUAGAUGUUCUGGGCCGCACGCGCGCUACACUGAAGGAAUCAGCGUGUGCCUCCCUGGCCGAAAGGUCCGGGUAAUCCGCUGAACCUCCUUCGUGCUAGGAAUUGGGGCUUGCAAUUAUUCCCCAUGAACGAGGAAUUCCCAGUAAGCGCGAGUCAUAAGCUCGCGUUGAUUACGUCCCUGCCCUUUGUACACACCGCCCGUCGCUACUACCGAUUGAAUGAUUUAGUGAGGUCUUCAGACUGGUAAUAACCGAAUGUUGCCUUCGUGUAAUAUCGAUGUUACCGGAAAGAUGACCAAACUUGAUCAUUUAGAGGAAGUAAAAGUCGUAACAAGGUUUCC
rnacentral:rRNA from 1 species